UACUUUGCCGUAGCUCAAACAGCUAUGACAUCUGAUAUCACUUUACCGUCUUGUAAAUCACACGUUAAGUAGCCGGAUUCAAGUUUUAAUUUUUUAAACAUAAUAACCGUAAUCAUAACUAUUAAGUUCAUUUGUUAAAAAUUCCAGUUUCAUUUCAGAACUGAUUUAUUUUAAAGAAUAAGUAAAUAAACGUGCUCGCUCUGCAGUUUUUUCUCCCCUAGCCAGAUCUCCCCUUCGGCCUUCAACGCGUCGCUUGCCCAGUGCAUAGGCCAUAGAUUUCCAUCUAUCGGUUAAAAUGGCGUGGUUCAUUAGCGUCAUGAAGAUGGCGUCAUCUGUCCAUCAAUCCAUCAUCAACCUCAUCGUUAAUUUACAAAUACAAACAAGAAAAAAAAUCGAUUUUGAAUCGUUUUUAUGUCAAGCAGACGCCAAGCAUCUUUGAAUAGCGUGGUCUGUGCUCUAUGAUAAGUGUUACUGCUGGAGUGAGCAAUUUCAGAUAGCGUCAUGAUGGCGUGCCCCGUUAGCGUCAUGAUGGCGUGCCCCGUUAGCGUCAUGGUUGGCGUGCCCUGUUAGCGUCAUGGUUGGCGUGCCCUAUGUAAGCGUCGUGAUUGGCGUGCCCUGUGUUAACACAAUAUGCUUUCUUUAUUCGUGUGCUGUGAUUUCAACACCAGCAUUGGUCAGAGGAGACUCGCAAGCAGCAAGCUAGAACCUCUUCAUCAGCCAGAAGCUUGCUACAAAGAAGUACACAGUUCAGGGGCUGCACAGAUGUGCAACAAUUUUAUCGAGCCAUGGCAUCUGAGUGUGAUGGUGCCCUGUCAAUUUAUAAUAUGCCAACCCCUAACUAGCCUAGGAGUAAACAGGUUGAUUUGCAUUAUUUGGAUCUUCUCUAACAGAAAUCAACUGAGGACCACCAGACAGCAUCUUAACAGACGAGCUCUUCUAGUAAAAUUUUGAGUGAUGAUGGAGAUUGGGGUUGGUUUGCCCCUCCGAAGUCACGAAAGGAUUAUUCUGCAUCGUAUUUUUCAAUAUUGCAGCCUACGACAAGCGUGUUGAAGUUGAAGAACAUUUACCAGAGCAAAAAGUACUGAAAGAUAAGUCUGCUGUAACCAUAGAUUCGCACAAUAGUUUAGAGCUACGGGUAGUAGUAUUUUCUCUACCGGGUUGGUUACUAUUCACGUUCUUCAGCAAUCAGAUCCAUGCAGUGCUUGCUAAAUCCGUGCAGGUUUCAAGUGAAGCGAAAACGGACAAAUUACCAAACUGGAAUCAGCGCAAGCGACAGCUCUUAUGCAAGAAGUCGUACCUACCCUCACAAGUUUGUUUGAAGUGCAUAAUGGAAUUAUACAUCUCCAACAAAUAAGUCUUCUAAUCCUGUGGCAGGCGCACGGUUGAAAGCCGAAAAUUUCAAAAGGUACAAGUUGGCAUUAAACGCUUUGUGUUUCCUCAUUAAGGUUGAAAGGAGUACAAUCAUGGAAACAUUACUAGUUGGCCUUAGAACUACUCAUCGUCGCUCUCAUGAGACAUAUUGUAUCGGUCGAUUUCUUCGUCGUUAAUGUUUAAGGGGUGGUCGGGAACGACAGUGGGGAAUGAAGUUUUUAGUUCAAGAACUAUUUCUUCAAGUAGUUCCAUGGUAUUAAUCUAAAAAAUUAAAAUAGUUUUUAUGUCACGUUAACAACAAUUCGAAAAUUGCAAAUAAUACCUCAUUAUCCUGAUAUCUAGACCACAGGGUAAAUAAGAUGGAGUUUUUCAACUGGGUCUCCUUUUUCCUAUG